rnacentral:lncRNA from 1 species
AUUUUUAAUUAUAGUACUGUUUAGUUUAUACCCAGCAUUUCCAGAAAUAGUUUCACCUUAAGACCCCUUAACUUGACACUAGCUCAAAGCACUCCAGGGUCUGUCAAGUCUCAAACAGUAAUUUUAUCUAUAUUCUUAUUAUUUUCCCUAGAAAAUCAAUAGUUAUACAUAAGUCUACCAGAUAUGGAAAAUACGAGAUCAAAGGAAAAAUAAAUUUUCUUUUUCCUCAUUUCUUUAACACUGAGACUCUUAUGUUAUGGACAUUUUUUUGGCCCUGAAAAAGAAAUGACAGGAGUUCCCACUGAGGUGCAGUAGGUUAAGCAUCUGGUGUUGUCUCUGAGGUAGUAUGGGUUCGAUCCUUGGCAGCACUGUGGGUUAAGGAUCCAGCAUUGCCAUGAUUGUAGGAUAGGUCAAGGUCACAGCUUCAGCUUGAAAUUGAUCCCUGGCCUGGGAACUUCCAUAUGCUGUGGGUGCAGCCAAAGAGAAAAAAAAAAGAAAAAGAAAUGACAAUCGUGUAUUUGUACCAGUUUUCUAUCUUUAAUAUAAAACCAGAAUUAGGCAUUUCUUUAAUUUAAAAAAACACUUUUAAUACAAUUAUUAGAAUUAAAAUUACUUCAUACUUGUGCUGGCAAAUGCUUUGAAUAGUCUUCUUUUGAAAUGUAACUUAUUUAUGUAAGGUAGUUUAAUUUUAUACUGUAUAUUAUAUAGUGCAUCCUUUCUCUUUUUAUUAUCUCAGUAUAUCUCCCUGAAAUAUUUUAAUCAAUACAUAUACACAUACCACAAUUCAACAUGAUAGGUAUUAGAUGUUUCUAUUUAUUAUUAGCAUAUUUUCCUUUAACAUCUUUAGCAUUUUUUCCAUAUCUCAUUCUAUACUCUAUUCUAGGUAUAAAUCUUUCUAAGCCCAUCAGGAAGAUGGAUAAAAUGUUAAGUGGAAAACUAAAAAUCCUUGUCUGGCAGCUUUAAUGUACAAGCACUUGGCAGUUAUAUUAAAUGGGAAUGAGUGAUUUUUAAAUUUUUUUAUAUAAAGCUGGGUACAUUUUGGAAAUUUCCUUCAAUUGCUUAUAGCUUUUAAACUAAAUAAUCUUAUUCUUUAUUUUCAAACCAUUUGAGAUACAUUAUAGGAUGUUUUUUGACAUUUAAAAAAGUGGUUGCAUCAGUUUUUAAAUACCUAUCUAUAGUUAAUUUAUUAUAUAUUAGAAGUAAAACUUUUGUGCAAUGAGAUUUUCAGCUUUGUUAAAAGGAAAUAUUUCUCUUUUAGUACCUCUUAAUUUUGAUUAAAAUAAUUAGUUCCCCAAACCCACAAAAAAUUAGAAAGUCAACACUAAAACAUAAAAUAAAGUAUUGAUUUCCUGAAUAUAGUAUGAGAUCUGAUUAGUUUGAAGAUAGGAAAAUAUAAAAUUGGUGCUCACAAAACACAAAGAUACUCUUCAGUCAGAUAUUCUUCUUCUAGAAGAUUCUAUUUUUCUCUUCUGAGCAAGAAUAGAUAUUUUAGGAGAGAAAAAGACACAAAUAAAAUUGAAGCCACUUUGCUGAAGAACAGGUUAGGUUUGGCUUUUGCAGAAGAAGUAGCAACUACCAGAUGUGAAUAGUUCUACAGCGGGGAGAAAGAAGCACAGGAAGCCUUAUAUUUGAUACAUUUAGUAUUGAAACGUUGUGUGGAAUGUAGAAUGCUCUGAAUAAAAAAUACCAUUUGAAAAGAAAAUAACACAUUCCAUAUAUGUAUUAUACUAAAAAUUAAUCAUAUCUUAUUAUCAGAUACCCAGGCAGCUAAUUUGACAUCAAUUAAAAGAGCAUUUGAAACACAUUACAGGUUUAAAUGGAAUAGAAUUAUUUGAGAUUCCUCCAAUUAUAUAGUGCUUUGAUUUUCCUAUUAUAUGUUUAAUGUUUCAUAACUUUUAUUUUUAAAUUAUCUUAUGAAUGUUUAUUAAGUGAAAAUAAGCUGGAAGAAAUUGAUAUUUGAUAUAAAAAAUAAAAAUUCCUAAUUGGUAAUUUUGAUAUACAGUCACUUGGCAGUUAAUUGGCAAUGAGAGAGGUUUUAAAAUUUUAUAAAUGAAACAAAAUAUAUUUUGAAGUUAGUAAAAGUUUCUAUCAUUUACAGUUAAAAAUUGAUAUAUUAAAUAUCCAUCCUUCUUUUAGAUCUAAAAAUGUAAUUGGUAAUAUUUAUCCUACUUUGUUUCUUUUGAAAGCCAAUUAUUUCAGAUCAAAAAUAAAUAUUUUACUAAAUAGUAUUAGCUCUCAUGGUCUCCAUGCUUUUAUUCUUUAUGAUCAUAAUUUAUAUUUUCUAUUUCUACUUUAAUAUUUUUUAAAGAAUGCUUUAAGUUCAUAUAGAAUGGCUUAAUAAAAAAGUAAUGAUUUUGAAGUUACAUUAAUGAUUUACAUAAAUCAAUAAAAAUAUUUGGAGAAUUUAAUCUGAAAAACUUAGAGAUGUAUAACUUUAUACCGAAAACAUUGUUUUUAGUGUAAUCAAAUCUUAUUAAAUGACUUCGAAGAUAUUUUUAAGCAAACAAAAACAGACACAGAGAGCUACACAGGGUUUAAAACUUCUAUGUAGAAAAACAAUAGAUAUCACUUCACUUCUCUUACACAGUUUAAAAGUCUAGUUGUUAAAAUUAAAAUAAAAACUCAUGAAGUAUUGAAAGAAAAUGGCAAAGCAGCAAACUAACAGAGGUAGAAAUCAUGACCAUGCAAGAGAAGUUGAAUAUGUCAGUACGAUUCUAGAGACAAGCCUUGCCUUCCUUCCUCCCUCUCCUCUUCUUUCCCUCCCUUCCUUCUUUCUUUCCUUCCUGCAUCCAUUUAUUCAUUUGUUCAUUUAAAUACACAGGCUAUUUUCUGUAUUUCAGAAUGCAAGCUGUGGCUAAUUAUAUAGUUCAGUGUGUCAAAUUUUGUGAGAUAUUAAUUUUACCUUUUUUGGUGACCUUAAACCUAACAUUUUGGAGAGUUAGAAAAAGAUCCUUUUAAUAAAUAGAAAAAUUCUCUCCAAAUGCCAUCCAGCCCUUUCUAUUCACAACAUAUGGCUUUUUUUCCCCUCAUAAAACAUACUUUCUCUACUACCAUCCUAUAGUAUAAAGACUAUUGAAAACAACUGUUCUGUAGUUCAUGGAAGAAUCGGGGGUUAGAAAAAUGGUUCAAAUUCAUAUUCUGCACAGCUUUUGCUUCACUAUGAAAUUUAUAAAAAGCAGGAUCUUGAGCUACCUGAGUCCAGUGACUGUGUGAUAAUUCCUUACUCUUAUUUUCCCCCAGACCAUAAUAUUUCAUGAGGUAAUGCAGUUGUAACAAAAGCACUUUUUAAAUAGCCUUAUUACUCUUUUCUAGAGCUUUAAAUGUUGUAAACAGAAGUCAGCAUCCUUAAAGAAUUGUAACUGAAUAAAUCAAAAUUUUUCUUACAUUUUUAAUUUUAGAAACUUUAAAGAAUUGACAUGUAUUCAUUCUUUUGUCCAACAUGAUUUAGAAUCUAAAUCAAGAAUAAACUUUUGUCUUGUUACCUAUAAUCUAGGUACAGUUAGAAACUAUCCAAGAACAUUGCAGAAGCAUAAGGGACUAAUUUCAUGAAUAUUUUUGGAUGCUAACUAUUCUAAAGAGAAGGAAUUCUAGGUGCCAUAUUUAUAAGGAAAAGUAUUUGUCCAAAGGAGAGAUGUUGUGAUAGUAGAGCAUCUCAGAUCCGUGCCACCUAUAGAAAGUUAAAGGAACUAAGGUUAAACAGAAGGACUUAGAAGGAUAAAAUAUCAACUUUUUUUUUUUAACUCCAAACAAGUGAAAAUUAUAGUUUUCCUGUCAAACUUGAAAUUCAUAAUCGGGGGCAAUUAAAAGUGGCUAGAGGGACGUAUUUUAGUCCAUGUUCUAUACACACAUGCACGUGUGCAUGCCCAUACACACACCCACACACACACAUUGGGGGGGGGCAAACAAGGCAAAGGUAAAAGAUACUUAUGUGGAAAAUAAACUUUACCUGAGAAAGAAUGGAAGCAAGAAGAUUAGAUAAAUGGCUAAAUCGACCAAAUGUGAAAUUUUGCUCAGUGGUAAGAGUAGUGUAGAUGGCUACAGUAUACACAUUUUAAUAAUUUUUGUAAAGUCAACAAGAUUUGGUGAUUGAAUGUGAAGAAUGAGAAAAGAUAUGAAAGAUUAUCUCUAGGUUUUUAUUUGGAGCAACUUUGUGUGUGGGAAUACUGGUUGCUAACAGUAGCAGUAUUGGAGGGUAGAAUAAAUUAGAAGCCAAGAGUAUCUUUUUUUAGAUGUUGUAACUUUGGGACUUGUAAUGUUUAUUAGAUGUAAAAUUGAUGAUGUCUGUCUGUUGCAUGUAUGUUUUCUAGAGUUUCAAUAAAGUCAGGGCUUGAAAUAGAGUUUCAAUAAAGUCAGCAUUUAGAAAUUACUUAAAAUCAUGAAAUUUAAUAAUUGCAUCUCAAGACAGCAUGGAAUUAGGGAAGAGAGUGGAAUUCAGAAUAAAUUGAAGAAAGAUGUCAAAAGGUAAAGGCUGACAAUGAAGAUGGAAGAGGGACAGAAAGAGAGAGGGAGAGAGAAAAUGAAUUAGCAGUCUGAAAUUAGCAGUCUCCAUAAGAGCAAGAAAUCUGUGGAAACAGACAUCUUGGAAGAUAUAGAAAAUUCAUUAAUAAUAAUAUUUUGAAUGAUAGUUUAUAUAAAAUGGUACAGUUUACAGAACACUUGUUACCCCCAAAGAUAUCAAAAGUUAUUUUAUGUUUUGCUACAUAUAAUUACAGAGAGGUUAAUGAAUAUAAAUGAGAAGCAAUUUAAUAUUUUACUUUUGACUCAUAAGCUUGUUAUUUCACUCAAAAGGAAAUCUGUGGUAGUGAUGAUAGCAUUUUAGUUGAUUCUCUUUGUUGACUAUUUAGAUUAAUUUAGAGAUUAAAGAAAAUGCAGCAUCAAUUUCAUAGGUCAGAUAAAUUUCAAACUUUGGUUAUAAGGUGAGAUAUUUUAAAUUCUCAUUAUAUUUGUCUAAACCUAGAUUUGGAGUAUAGUGAUGCUUUUCUUUUUUCCUAUGUUUUCAAAAACAGAUGUUGAUUUGCAAAUAAUGACAACUGAAUUCUAUGCCACUAGUUUUUAUUUUGUUGAUAUCAGCCCUACCAGAUGAUACAUUCAGAUUCAUAGGUUCC